AGGAGAGGAUUACACCCAUUACCAGAUUCAAUAAUGGAUGUUGUGAAUGAAAUUGUAAAUGUUGGAUAUUUCUACUAGGUCUUAAAUGCUUAUAAACAAAAUCAUUUUUGGAGAACUCUUUCUUAUGCAUUAACUUGUCUCAAAUGAAUAGUUGUAGAGGCACAGUAUAGUUUGUUGAUUCUUGGGUGACUUGAUGCAAACAAGGGGUCUCCAAAAUACUUGAUUUGUUGUUUGUCAGAAAUUUAGACCUUGUAGAUCAUGCCUGGUGGUUUAUAUUUCCAUUUUUCAACUCCCAUGACUGAAUAUGUAUAUAUACAUAUGUUUGUGUUUUUGUGUGCCUAUGUGUACACUUGUAUGUAUAUAUAACACAAUUUAUGUACGUAUAUAACAUGAUUUUUUAAGUCCCAGUACUAAGCCCCUUAUUGGUACCUCAUUGAUAUGGUUUGGUGCGUCCUCUGUACUGACCCAUGGUACACUGUUGGAGCAAAUAACAAAUAGUACCAUGUGUUGCUACAUGGGGCCUACUGAGGCCCAUACCAGUAUUAGGACUCUUUCAAGUUGGUAUUGUUAGCUCUGAACUUCAUGGUAUCACACGGUAUGAAUGUUACAUACAGACAUAUAGAGUGUGUGUGUGUGUGUGAGAGAGAGAGAUACAUAUUCCCAUAUAUGAGGAAUGGGACUGGCAAGUCGUAUUUGUAGUGCUAUUAGAGUUGAUGAUAACAAAUUAUAAGUCAUUAGGUUGUUGUAGAGAAGAAUCGAACAGAUCUAACAUCCAAUUUUGUCAUACAUGGAAGCUGUCUGUCUUGUUUAACUAUGAAUCUGCCAGGAUUCCCAGCAUCAAGAUUAACUUCAUUUUCUGCAGUUACCAAAAUGAUGCAUAUCAGUAGUGCAACUGUAGUUUGGUAUCCAACUUCCCUGUCUAACCUAAGGCUGAUGCAGUCUGCUGUGAUUGCAAGUCUGAUGCCAUCUAUAGUUGGUGAUGCCCCUCUGAUAGCUUUAACAAUUUGUCUUUCAAAGCCUU
rnacentral:lncRNA from 1 species